rnacentral:misc_RNA from 1 species
ACGGACAUGUCCACACGGCAUACACGAAAGAGUGUCGCCCCUCCCUGCUUUGCAGUGCUUCUUUUAGUUUUUCUUGUUUUCGCCACCAUUUCCUGCCCGCUUUUCUGUGCAGAGGAAGAUGGACUCUCAUGCUCAAAGUCCCGUCAGGGCCUCGAAGCUGAGCAGUCCCGCCACCGAUAGAGGCCAUGAAUUCGUGUCUGCGUCACACCACCGACGGGACACGGGCAACUCUAGCGGUGCCCCGAAUGACUGCCUGUGCACUGACAACAGCCCCUGCCGCGUGAAGCCGACUGGGGACUUACAGACGAGCGUCACGAAUGACUCUUUUGGGUGUCCGCUGGGCAACAACGUCGUCUUUGGCUCCACCCGACCCUUCGAUAGCGGGCAGAGCUCCUCGACCGUGGAGCAUUUUCUUUCUACGGUGCCCGCCGUCGACUCCACUUUCACUCCCAGCUGCUUUCAACACGACAGCGGUGCCGUCGCCGAGCCAAUGCACGCGCGAGAGAGGCCCAACUUUGUGUCUAUUUCCAAGGAGGUUGCCUUGCCUGCAGACCCACCGCUGGACGCCUCGCCAUGGCCUACAAGUGCCGUCCAGGCCAUUGCCGUGCCAGCCCUGCAUCAGGCUGCCUUUUAUUCGACGAGCACCUCAUCCCGCAAGAUGGUGGUGCCGUCGCCGGUGGUAUCGACAGUGCACCGCGAUCCACAACCGGUAUUUGCAGCAACCGUGUCCUCACUGACAGGCUCUGUGCCCGUUGUUGCUUCGUUGACGUCGUCUGCGGCGUCGCCACUGCAGCGGUCGCCGUCUCGUCGCAUCUCGACAAAAUCGUUUGCAUUGACGUCCUCGGGCGUGGGGUCUGCUGCCGGCUCGCCGACACAGCCGGGGAGCUGCGCCCGGCCCACCUUGCCGCCUCUUAGCAGCGUGGGCCACCAUGCCUCUACCAACUCCAGCUACUGGCACACGAACGAGGUGUCGGUCGGAGGUGCUGGUGCAGACGCGGGCGCGAUUUACACCUCCAGCCCGCUGCAACGCAGUCCCGCGUCCCCCGGGCUUUCCCCUACGUCGCGCCGCGCACACAACUAUGGUAGCGGGAUGCAGUUUUCCUCGACCCUCGCACAGUUUCCCGGAGGUGUUGGUGCCGGCCUCCCUCGCAGCCGCUCUGACACGGAUCUCCGCCGCGCCUUGAAAGAGCGUGAAGACGCAAUCCUCAGCCCAACUAACGCGACCGCCGCGGGCCAAGUGCUCAGCGGAGGAUCACCGGGAAACGUCGAUCGCCCCCUGUCCUACAACUCCCCGUUGCUUGGCGUUGGUUCGCGCCAGCGCCGCGUGAUCCGGGACAUGGAGUCGUCCUUCAACGCCGGUGGACUGCACAGCUCCAGCCGUUACGCGGCCUCCGGCGGCAGCUGUGGCGCCAGCUCUAGCGGAACCGUUCCCGCGCAGCCGCGCUGGGUGAGCGCGGCAGAGCGGAUGAAGGAGUCGCGCGGUUUCGAGGACCCGUUGAUGCACGACCCAGUGCUUCCAUACGACCAGAGCAAGCUUGGGAUUCAGUCGCGCCGCCUCGCCGCGCAGGGCGUGCUGACGGCUGGCAAACUGCGCGCUCUGGAGGCGCAACAGGCUGAGAGCGGCGGUGGCAGCACGGACUACAGAAAUCCUCAUCAGCUGGUAGCAUACAGUACCGCUGGUGGCAGUGUACGGUCCGGCGCCCACCCGGCACGAUGCCAAGCCGCUCAGGGCGGGGUUCCCGUAUUUGUGGCGCAGGAGGAGGCACUUAUUGCGUCAACGCGGCACCACGGCCGCACCCUUACAGAACACUCAGGAUGGCGUCGCGGCGGCAACGUGCGGUGUGUUGCCGUUGGCGGUCAAAGCAUGAUUGGCGGGCGCCACGCCGUGACUGCCUUGCCGAACUCGCGCGCCGUUACAACUUUGGAGGCGGUGACAGGGGGCGGCGUUGGCAAAACCAGCCCCAGCAGCACCACAUGCAGUGCAUCCUUCCGCACCCGCGCUGCGAAUGGCUGCAUCUCGAGCUCGCUUGGCAGUGUAGACUCGAAGCCUGGUAUUGCAGAGUACAAGCUAGCCAAUCUCUUCCAACGUAAGUUGCAGCAGACCAACAACAUCCUUUAUGCGAUGGAGUCGUCAUGUGGUGGAGUGGCUGAGUCUUCCGCCUCGAACGGUGUCGCGGCGGGAGCGCCACGCGGCACAGGCGAGGAGAAGGGUGCAGCAGCGGGAGGAGGGGGCGG